AGUGAACGCUGGCGGUAGGCCUAACACAUGCAAGUCGAACGGCAGCACAGUAAGAGCUUGCUCUUACGGGUGGCGAGUGGCGGACGGGUGAGGAAUACAUCGGAAUCUACUUUUUCGUGGGGGAUAACGUAGGGAAACUUACGCUAAUACCGCAUACGACCUACGGGUGAAAGCAGGGGAUCUUGGGACCUUGCGCGAUUGAAUGAGCCGAUGUCGGAUUAGCUAGUUGGCGGGGUAAAGGCCCACCAAGGCAACGAUCCGUAGCUGGCCUGAGAGGAUGAUCAGCCACACUGGAACUGAGACACGGUCCAGACUCCUACGGGAGGCAGCAGUGGGGAAUAUUGGGCAAUGGGCGAAAGCCUGACCCAGCAAUACCGCGUGAGUGAUGAAGGCCUUCGGGUUGUAAAGCCCUUUUGUUGGGAAAGAAAAGCAGCAGGUUAAUCCCCCGCUGUCUUGACGGUACCCAAAGAAUAAGCACCGGCUAACUUCGUG
rnacentral:rRNA from 1 species